GCCCUUCAGGCCUAACACAUGCAAGUCGAGCGGAGGUGAGGUGCUUGCACCUUAUCUUAGCGGCGGACGGGUGAGUAAUACUUAGGAAUCUGGCUAUUAGUGGGGGACAACAUUUCGAAAGGGAUGCUAAUACCGCAUACGUCCUACGGGAGAAAGCAGGGGAUCUUCGGACCUUGCGCUAAUAGAUGAGCCUAAGUCGGAUUAGCUAGUUGGUGGGGUAAAGGCCUACCAAGGCGACGAUCUGUAGCGGGUCUGAGAGGAUGAUCCGCCACACUGGGACUGAGACACGGCCCAGACUCCUACGGGAGGCAGCAGUGGGGAAUAUUGGACAAUGGGGGGAACCCUGAUCCAGCCAUGCCGCGUGUGUGAAGAAGGCCUUAUGGUUGUAAAGCACUUUAAGCGAGGAGGAGGGUACUGGUAUUAAUACUACCAGCUACUGGACGUUACUCGCAGAAUAAGCACCGGCUAACUCUGUGCCAGCAGCCGCGGUAAUAAGGGC
rnacentral:rRNA from 1 species